AUUGAACGCUGGCGGCAGGCCUAACACAUGCAAGUCGAGCGAGCGGCGGGCGGGUGAGUACUGUGUGUGGACUGCCCGAUAGAGGGGGAGAUAUACUGUGAAAGGUAGCUAAUACAGCGUACUAUCGGAUAACCCAUGUGGGAUUCGCUAGUAGGUGGGGUAAUGGCUCACCUAGGCGACGAGCCCUAGAUGGUCUGAGAGGAUGAUCAGCCACACUGGGACUGAGACACGGCCCAGACUCCUACGGAGGCAGCAGUGGGGAAUAUUGGACAAUGGGCGAAAGCCGGAUGCAGCCAUGCCGCGUGUAUGAAGAAGGCCCUAGGGUUGUAAAGCACUUUCAGUCGGGAGGCGUUACCGACAGAAGAAGCACCGGCUAACUCCGUGCCAGCAGCCGCGGUAAUUC
rnacentral:rRNA from 1 species